GGGCCCGUAGCUUAGUCUGGACAGAGCGUCGCCCUCCGGAGGCGAAGGUCGCGGGUUCAAAUCCCGCCGGGCCCGCCA
rnacentral:tRNA from 5 species